UACGAAGGGGGCUAGCGUUGCUCGGAAUCACUGGGCGUAAAGCGCACGUAGGCGGAUUGCUAAGUCAGGGGUGAAAUCCUGGAGCUCAACUCCAGAACUGCCUUUGAUACUGGCGACCUUGAGUCCGGGAGAGGUGAGUGGAACUGCGAGUGUAGAGGUGAAAUUCGUAGAUAUUCGCAAGAACACCAGUGGCGAAGGCGGCUCACUGGCCCGGUACUGACGCUGAGGUGCGGAAAGCGUGGGGAGCAACAGG
rnacentral:rRNA from 1 species